AUUGAACGCUGGCGGCAUGCCUUACACAUGCAAGUCGAACGGCAGCACGGGGGCAACCCCUGGUGGCGAGUGGCGAACGGGUGAGUAAUAUAUCGGAACGUACCCUGGAGUGGGGGAUAACGUAGCGAAAGUUACGCUAAUACCGCAUACGAUCUAAGGAUGAAAGUGGGGAUCGCAAGACCUCAUGCUCCCGGAGCGGCCGAUAUCUGAUUAGCUAGUUGGUGGGGUAAAGCCUACCAAGGCAUCGAUCAGUAGCUGGUCUGAGAGGACGACCAGCCACACUGGGACUGAGACACGGCCCAGACUCCUACGGGAGGCAGCAGUGGGGAAUUUUGGACAAUGGGGGCAACCCUGAUCCAGCAAUGCCGCGUGAGUGAAG
rnacentral:rRNA from 1 species